rnacentral:rRNA from 1 species
GAACGCGCAGCAUUCUGUAGCAAUACAGGGUGUGGGCGCGUGGCGAACGGGUGCGUAACACGUGGAUAACCUUCCUUCAGGUGGGGAAUAACCCCGCGAAAGCGGGGCUAAUACCGCAUAACAUCGCGAUGGCACAUGCUGUUGCGUUCAAAGGCGCAAGUCGCCAGAAGAGGGAUCCGCGGCCGAUUAGCUUGUUGGCGGGGUAACGGCCCACCAAGGCUUUGAUCGGUAGCCGGACUGAGAGGUUGGCCGGCCACACUGGAACUGAGACACGGUCCAGACUCCUACGGGAGGCAGCAGUGGGGAAUCUUGCACAAUGGACGAAAGUCUGAUGCAGCAACGCCGCGUGGGGGAUGAAGCUUCUCGGAGUGUAAACCCCUUUCGACCCGGACGAAUGCCCGCAAGGGCUUGACGGUACGGGUAUAAGAAGCCCCGGCUAACUACGUG